ACCCUCCACCCGUACCCGGACGAGGCUCGCUGGCUACCUCCAGGGCGCCAGGCCAGUCCCUCCCAGCGGCCGGAGUCCGGGGGCUGCGGCUGGAGCCAUCGGUCCGGGUUGACAUCAUAUACCAGCCCCUGGGAGGUAUAGCCCUUCUCCCUCUUUCUCCUUAACUUCUCGCAUUGAAAAAAAUUUUGGAGACCAAGUUCUUUCCCGGAACUAAGGAGGCUUGAAGAGGAGGGCAGAGGACAUCCUAUACAGGUGUUAAAAAUCUUUCUACGGAUCCGAGUGAGGGGGUCCGGGCUUACAUGGCCCCUUCCCCUUUCACUCCCAGCGUCCAACCCGGGCUGCGGCUGCAGGAAUGGAGGGGACCACGGCCUCGGCAGCCAAGUUUUGCUACUUACGGGAGUACUGAAGGCCCUCGGUGCUGGCCAGCCAGCGCGUGUACGGGUUGUCGCUGCUGUCGUAGAAGGGGUUCUUCAGGGGCAGGCUCUGCACCGCGUCCAGGGCGCCCUGCCCCAGCGGCCCGGCCCUCUUGGCUGGCUCGGGCCCCUCGUUCUCUUCCUCCGGACCUUCGGCCACAGAGCCCUCCUCAUCGUUGGUGUCCGGCAGGUCUAAGAUGUCCUUGACCGAAAACCCCGUCUUUGUGUUGGUCAGCGACAUGGUUCGAGACCCCAAAAUUUAUGUCGCAAAGUUGUA
rnacentral:lncRNA from 1 species